UCUGUGCACUUUCCCGAAUUCUGUCCUCUCAUUUUCCGUCCGUUCAUUAGAAAGAGCAAAAAUGAUCCUGUGGCUAAACGUGGUGUCCUUACUAGCAGUCCUUAGAGGUGUCCAGUCAGAGGUCCAGUUGGUGGAGUCUGGAGGGAACGUGAGAAGACCUGGAGAGUCCCUCCAUCUCUCCUGCCAAGCCUCUGGAUUUGAUUUCAGCAGCGACUGGAUGGACUGGAUGAGACAGGCUCCUGGAAAAGGACUGGAAUGGGUGGCAAACAUGGAUGCAGGCGGUAGCCGUUACUACUCGGACAAAGUCAAGGGACGCUUCACCAUCUCCAGGGACAAUGCCAGAAGCCAGCUGUAUCUGCAAAUGAACAACUUGAAGCCAGAGGACUCGGCAAUCUAUUACUGUGCAGGAAGCACAGUGAGAGGAGUGAAUCUGAAGCCAAGCAAGAACCUUCUCUUCCUCAGAGCAGCCCUUCAAGUUGAUUUAGUUACAGAUACUUGA